rnacentral:misc_RNA from 1 species
GAUGAAGAACGUAGCGAAAUGCGAUAAGUAAUGUGAAUUGCAGAAUUCAGUGAAUCAUCGAAUCUUUGAACGCACAUUGCGCCCCCCAGUAUUCUGGCGGGCAUGCCUGUUCGAGCGUCAUUUCAACCAUCAAGCCCUGCUUGUGUUGGGGUCCUGCGGCUGCCCGCAGGCCCUGAAAACCAGUGGCGGGCUCGCUAGUCACACCGAGCGCAGUAGCACAUCUCGCUCAGGGCGUGCGGCGGGCUCCAGCCGUUAAAGCACCCACCUUUCGCAAGGUUGACCUCGGAUCAGGUAGGAAUACCCGCUGAACUUAAGCAUAUCAAUAAGGAGGA